rnacentral:lncRNA from 1 species
GCUCACUGCAAGCUCCGCCUCUCAGGUUCACGCCAUUCUCCUGCCUCAGCCUCCCUAGUAGCAGGGACUACAGGCGCCUGCCACCACGCCCGGCUAAUUUUUUUUUUGUAUUUUUAGUAGAGAAGGGGUUUCACCGGGUUAACUAGGAUGGUCUUGAUCUCCUGACCUCGUGACCCACCCACCUCGGCCUCCCAAAGUGCUGGGAUUACAGGCAUGAGCCACCACACCCAGCCGGUUCUACGAUUUUCUUUAUAAUGCACUGUGUAGGCAAGGAGCAGAGACAGAAGACACAGAGUGGAUGUCACUCUGGUUUGGGAGAUUGAUUAUGUGGCCAACAGAGGGAGAAGGAGUUAAGGUCCUUAAAAGGCAGGUUAGAAAUGCAAGAAGACUAAGAGAAAAAAAAUUGCCUGCUAAUACUGGCCUUGGAGGUGUCCAGUUCAAAUCUCCAUCUAAGAUAAGCUGCUCUGGAAGCAGAGCUGAUUGGCAGCCUGCAGUUGUCUUUGCACAUUUGGAUCCAUCCAGCAUUCAUUCCAGGCCACGCCACUCCCAGCCUGUUCCAGAUGAUGAGACAAGGUAAAAAAAGGGCUUGAGGAGACAAAGUGGUUGCCCAAGGUGGCAUCAUCAACCAGAAGCAGAUUUGGCCCUAGAACAUAGGAGGUAGAUUGCAGACAGGCACAAAUUCCUUGCAGCUCCUCUUAUCAAGAAAAAGAGUGUUUUUCUCUACCCCUUUAACGUAGUGAAAAUGAAGUUGUGUGAGAGUCAAGCCUGGAUUGUAAGGGGUCUUUGAGUUUCCUUCUGCUCCUCUCACUCUUGGAAUGCUGCUGCCAUGUGAAAAAAACCGGGGUUAGUCUGUGGGAGGAUGAGAGACUACAUGGAGCAGAGACAAGAAUCCCCGAGGAAGCCCUCCCAUGCCAAUCAGCUGGCCGACUGCCAGACAUGUGAGUGAGGGGCCCCAGAGCUCCCAGCCCCAACCAAGCCACCAGCAGGCUACAGAAACCCACCGAGUUGGUUCAGAUUAGAAGAGCUACCCUAGCCAUCCAGCCAUCCCAGCCACCCCAAGGAAC